rnacentral:sRNA from 1 species
GGGCAGACCGAAUAACUCCUCACGGAGCGAAAGCAGUCCCCAUAUAAAAGGGGAAUAUAACCUCUCUGACGGCCUCGCGCCGUCGGACAAACAUAUACCGCGAUACGGUUAGCCGGACGCUCCUUGCAUGGGUGCGGAGUGCGUGUUUUCCGUGCUUUCAUGGCUCGCCGUUACGCAUUUUAGACAACACGCCGAGAAAGAAAUGUACGAGGUAUUUUUAUUUUAU